CCAGAAAACUCAAGCGACCAUACCUGAAACAAAAGAGAUGGUCAACCACAUAACAACUGACCUAAUAAGUAAGCGCACAAAAAAGAGAAGACCAACUUUCGAAUCUUCUCCAGAUCGAGAAUAUAGAGCUCAAAGCCACUCAGUGGUGAAAAACGCAGCCUCUCGAGAGAUUUUGAAACAGGAGAGAAAAAAAAAACCCUAAACUUUCACAACAAAUCCAUAAAACCCUAAAAGAAAAUAAGGAGAGUAACUUUAAUUGGAAAUAAUUACCAAGAAAAAGAGUCUUUCGA
rnacentral:misc_RNA from 1 species